rfam:Jaapia argillacea MTCL 33604 unplaced genomic scaffold JAAARscaffold_2, whole genome shotgun sequence.
GUCGGCAUAGCUAAGUGGUUAUAGCAUGCGAUUGCAGUUCAAUCAUAAGCUCUGUAUCGCAGGGUCGCGUGUUCAAAUCACGCUGCUGACU